UGGGGAAUAUUGGACAAUGGGGGGAAUCCUGAUCCAGCCAUGCCGCGUGUGUGAAGAAGGCCUUAUGGUUGUAAAGCACUUUAAGCGAGGAGGAGGGUACUGGUAUUAAUACUACCAGGUACUGGACGCUACUCGCAGAAUAAGCACUGGCUAACUCUGUGCCAGCAGCCGCGGUAAUACAGAGGGUGCAAGCGUUAAUCGGAAUUACUGGGCGUAAAGCGCGCGUAGGUGGUUCGUUAAGUUGAAUGUGAAAGCCCCGGGCUCAACCUGGGAACUGCAUCCAAAACUGGCGAGCUAGAGUAGGGCAGAGGGUGGUGGAAUUUCCUGUGUAGCGGUGAAAUGCGUAGAUAUAGGAAGGAACACCAGUGGCGAAGGCGACCACCUGGGCUCAUACUGACACUGAGGUGCGAAAGCGUGGGGAGCAAACAGG
rnacentral:rRNA from 1 species